GACAUAGGUGGCGAACGUUAUCCGGAUUUAUUGGGCGUAAAGGAUGCGUAGAUGGUGGAAUAAGUUAUUGGUCGAGGUCAAGCUCAACUUGGCGGAAGCUGAUAAUACUGUUCUACUUGAGGACAGGAGAGGUUGGCGGAAUUCUGUGUGGAGCGGUGAAAUGCGUUGAUCUACAGAGGAACACCAAAAAGGGCGAAGGCAGCCAACUAUUCUGAUCCUGACAUUGAGGCAUGAAAGCGUGGGGAGCAAACCGG
rnacentral:rRNA from 1 species